rnacentral:rRNA from 1 species
GUAAGCGGUGCGAGUCGAGUGUAGCAUUACAUGGCGUACUGUUCAGUUACAGGUGGACCAUCUACCGUUGGGUUGGGCAUAAACCCGUGAAACUGGUUAUAUUACCGACUAGAUCUCGGCUGCUCGAAUGCCUCCAGACUGAAAGCUUCGACGCCCAAGGAAAAGUCUGCCGCCUAUCAGAUAGUAGUGGGUGUAGCGUAGCUACUAGCCUAGGACGGGUACGGGUUGUGACAGCAAGAGCCCGGAGAUGGAUUCUGAGACACGAAUCCAGGCCCUACGGGGUGCAGGAGGCGCGAAAACGGUACAAUGCGGGGAACCGCGAUAAGGGGACCUCGAGUGCCAGGAUACAAUUCUGGCUUUCGCGAUGCCUUAAAUGCAUUGCAUAGGAAGGCCCGGGCAAGACAGGUGCCAGCCGCCGCGGAAACACCGGAGGCUCGAGUUGUAACCGCUCUUAUUGGGUCGAAAGGGUCUGGAGCCGGCCGAAUAAGUCUGUUGGGCAAACG